AGUAGCACUGAUUGCUAGUAAAAUUGAGCCUUUCUGUCACGUCUUAAGCUAUUGGAACAGUUAAUAUGGUCUAUUUAGCAAAAAGGAGCCAGCAUCAAACAGCAACUCAAAGUAGCAGCUGACAAAAGCUACUUUCCAACCACCAUUAAACUACAGAAGAAGACUCUUUGUAGGGUAUACCUAACCCUGAACCUGUUGUGGUCUUGACCUGGGCCAAAGGACAGCGGAUUACACAGUGGCUUUAUCAGGGACAUGUGACUCUGUAUAGGACUAAUGUCCUCAUAUAAUAAAACUUGCCACACACUUUAUAUUUACCCAGACUGAAGGAGCAGAUAUUGAUACAGCAGCAACACACGCCUGUCAGACAGCGGACGGCGAGGAAGAGGUGUGGCUGCGGAAGAAUAGCGGGCACCACGCCGCACACUGCGUGCAUGCACACACACACCAGCAGCACAGGACGCUUCCCGUACCUACACACACGCACAACACAUACAUAUUGGCUGAGGUGUGAUGUUGCAACAGCAAAAUGUUUACAUGCACGUGCACUGUACCUGUCAGAGAGAGCUCCGCCCAACAGCGUUCCAAGCAGGAGGCCCACCAUGAAAGCGGUUGUGCCAUAAGACAACCAUUGAGUCCAGCUGCACACUGACUGACACACAGAAAACAAUAUGUGAAUCUCUGUUUGCAACUCUUGAAGAUGAAAAAAGGUUUGAUUGUAGUCGUCUGAGACAGGAUAUUUGCUUUGUGAUCAGAGGAUCAAAAGUUUGAAUCCCCUCACGGACGAGAAAUUGAAAAAAUUAAACAGAACCUCCAAAUCUGAACACGUGAAACUGGUCAGUUGUUUUCAUUAUUAAAAAUUCCCAUAGCAAAUAAUGUAAAGUGAAUUCCAGGCUCUAACUUCUACCAAUAAACUCUACAGGUGAGGUUUUAAGUAACAUUUUAUUGCCAUGAAGUACGUGUGUGCAAUCAUCCAUCUUCUUCCACCCACACAGGGUUCGGUCAUGGGGGCAGCAGAGAAACCCAGGCUUCCCUCACCCAGCUCCUCCCUGUCUACCUAUGCAACAUGCAUGUCACCUGAUCACAUGCUUUCCCAACUGUGUAGUUGCACUGCUGCGGUGUCCAUAACUACACAACUUGGUUUGCCAGCGACUACUUCCCAACUGGUGGAAUUCCGGUCAGCUGCUGUGUUGCUUUCUCUGACUGCAAAGAGACAGACUUGAAGAAUGCUACUCUGGCAGCUCGCAAGGUCCACAAACAGGGUUGUUAUGAAAUUGUGACAUCCUUCAUCGAGGGCAAAAUGGGAAUCAUCGCCGGGGUCACCUUUGGGAUCGCCUUCUCCCAGCUGAUCGGUAUGUCUUUGGCCUGCUGCCUGUCUCACUUCAUUCACACCAACCAGUACGAGAUGGUCUGAGGUGGUAUCGGUGUUUCCCCACAGAAACCUGCGGAAUCGCAUUCAGCAUUGUGCAAAACAUUCCCCUCGCGGGGGUAUGCUGGAACCUAUCCCAAUAUAUAUAUA